UCUUUGGUAGUAUAGUGGUUAGUAUACCCGCCUGUCACGCGGGUGACCGGGGUUCAAUUCCCCGCCAGAGAG